UGCUUUCUUGCUGAGAGUGGCGGACGGGUGAGUAAUGCUUGGGAAUCUGGCUUAUGGAGGGGGAUAACUACGGGAAACUGUAGCUAAUACCGCGUAGAAUCGAGAGAUGAAAGUGUGGGACCGCAAGGCCACAUGCCAUAAGAUGAGCCCAAGUGGGAUUAGGUAGUUGGUGGGGUAAAGGCCUACCAAGCCGACGAUCUCUAGCUGGUCUGAGAGGAUGACCAGCCACACUGGAACUGAGACACGGUCCAGACUCCUACGGGAGGCAGCAGUGGGGAAUAUUGCGCAAUGGGGGGAACCCUGACGCAGCCAUGCCGCGUGAAUGAAGAAGGCCUUCGGGUUGUAAAGUUCUUUCGGUGAUGAGGAAGGCAGGUAAGUGAAUAGCUUGCUUGAUUGACGUUAGUCACAGAAGAAGCACCGGCUAACUCCGUGCCAGCAGCCGCGGUAAUACGGAGGGUGCGAGCGUUAAUCGGAAUAACUGGGCGUAAAGGGCACGCAGGCGGUGACUUAAGUGAGAUGUGAAAUCCCCGAGCUUAACUUGGGAACUGCAUUUCAGACUGG
rnacentral:rRNA from 1 species